rnacentral:pre_miRNA from 1 species
GCUUUAGUGUAAGUAUAUCCCGUCCAAUAUUUGGGAUAUACUUAUACUAAAA